AAAACUUCAAUGAAGUGUCCAUGCAGUCCAAUGACUAAAACAAGUUAAAGAUACAAGAAAGAUCAGUUAUAUUAAGUGUACUUUUAUAUGUAUCCUGAUACAGAGAGUACUGAAAUAAGUCGAGGCAUGGUGGUAUGCCUAAGAAAUUCAUUUUGCAAAAAUGGUUCUAGGUGCAACUAUUCAGUAUUCAGAUUACUCUGUCAAAUGUUAUGCUUAUUCAUUUACAUUGUUUUGAAUUAAUCAUGCAUUAUCUUGUAGCUUUGAGAUUUCUGUGUGAUAGAUUUACUUUUAGAGUGACAUUGUAGGGUGGGUAUGAGAGGCUGGAUCUGGUCUGUUUCAACAUAAAACAAGUUGAAUAUUUAUGCUGGAUAUGGCUAGUUUAAAUGCUAAAGCAGUGGUUCCCAAGGUGGGCAGUGGAAAGAUCCAGGAGGGCAAUGAAAAAAGUGGGGUGAUAAUGGAGUGGCCAAAAAGGGGUCAAUGGAUGUAAAAAAACACCAAAAUAAUGGGUUAUUUUGGCUAAGCUGUAUUUGUGAAAUAAUUAUUUUGAAUUUGCUGCAGAAAGUGGUCGAUGUUUGUGGUGGUGAGUGGGGAGAGGGGUGCUGGGAAUGUUGCCUGGUCCCAAGUGAGUGGCAGCUUGGAGUCGAUAUUAAAUUGACCUCAGUAUUUGACUGAUAUUUAAUUGACUCCAGAAGGAUAAUCCUAGUAAUGAGCUUGUAGUAUACGGUGCUCAAGCGCACUACAACAUGUCACAAAAGGUUAAGAUAAGAGACAGAAAGCAGACAGUCAAGUAAAGAAAGACAGCAAUGCAUAGUACACAAAAUAAAACAUGAAAAGACAGAAAAGUGAACAUUAAAAGAAUCAUAAAGAGGAAAGUGUGCAUAGGAACAUCAAGAGGGGUGUUGGUGAAUUUUGAGAAACUUGGAAUUUUUUGAAGGAUGCAGUGCUCUGACAGCUAACAACUGAUGUGAGUGGUUUAUUCUAUACUUCAACAAUUUUGAGCAUAAAAAAAGCAUUCCCAAAUGUCAUUGACACUGCACAUAUUUUUGAUUUUUAUAAGUAUGUUUAUUAGUGGCUGAGGCAUUGAAUUCAAAGAGUGGCUAAAGUUGUUGUAAAGAUGGUGGAUGACAGGCCAAGCUAAACUUUGGUGGAAUUUGAACUCGGAAUGUAAAUACAGUAAGAUAUUUGAUAUGAUGCUCUAUCAGCUCUGCUAAUCCACCAUCUAUAUUAUAAAAUAUUGAAAGCAGAUAUUGUUUUACUUUUUAAAUUAUUAUUUCACUUAAUUUUGUUAGAUUUUCAAAAGUAUUUCAGUUGUGUAGGUAACAUGCUACACGUCUUCUUUACUAAUCAGUAAAGCAGGAGUUCAAAUUUAGCUCCUUCUUUUGAGUACAGCCAUUACAAUGAAAAUAUGAUACAUAACCUGUUUCAGA